AUACGUAGGGGGCGAGCGUUGUCCGGAAUGAUUGGGCGUAAAGGGCGCGUAGGCGGCUUUGCAAGUCAGUAGUGGAAGUCCAUUUUUCAAGGAUGGAAGUGCUACAGAAACUGCGGAGCUUGAGUGCAGGAGAGGUUAUCGGAAUUCCCGGUGUAGCGGUGAAAUGCGUAGAGAUCGGGAGGAACACCAGUGGCGAAGGCGGGAAACUGGACUGCAACUGACGCUGAGGCGCGAAAGUGUGGGGAGCAAACAGGAUUAGAUACCCUGGUAGUCCACACUGUAAACGAUGAAUGCUAGGUGUAGGAGGUAUCGACCCCUUCUGUGCCGCAGUAAACACAGUAAGCAUUCCGCCUGGGGAGUACGGUCGCAAGAUUAAAACUCAAAGGAAUUGACGGGG
rnacentral:rRNA from 1 species